rnacentral:rRNA from 1 species
GACGAACGCUGGCGGCAGGCUUAACACAUGCAAGUCGAGCGGAGCGAGGGUGCUUGCACCUUAGCUUAGCGGCGGACGGGUGAGUAAUGCUUAGGAAUCUGCCUAUUAGUGGGGGACAACAUUCCGAAAGGAAUGCUAAUACCGCAUACGCCCUACGGGGGAAAGCAGGGGAUCUUCGGACCUUGCGCUAAUAGAUGAGCCUAAGUCGGAUUAGCUAGUUGGUGGGGUAAAGGCCUACCAAGGCGACGAUCUGUAGCGGGUCUGAGAGGAUGAUCCGCCACACUGGGACUGAGACACGGCCCAGACUCCUACGGGAGGCAGCAGUGGGGAAUAUUGGACAAUGGGCGGAAGCCUGAUCCAGCCAUGCCGCGUGUGUGAAGAAGGCCUUUUGGUUGUAAAGCACUUUAAGCGAGGAGGAGGCUACUUAGAUUAAUACUCUGGGAUAGUGGACGUUACUCGCAGAAUAAGCACCGGCUAACUCUGUGCCAGCCGCCGCCGUAA